GCCUGGGUGGCUUAGCGGUUGAGCACCUGCCUCCAGCCCAGGGUGUGAUCCCAGGGGUCCUGGGAUCGAGUCCCACAUCAGGCU
rnacentral:tRNA from 1 species